UACGAAGGGGGCUAGCGUUGUUCGGAAUUACUGGGCGUAAAGCGUGCGCAGGCGGUUUUGUAAGCCAGAUGUGAAAUCCCCGGGCUUAACCUGGGAAUGGCAUUUGGGACUGCAAGGCUUGAGUGCGGCAGAGGAGACUGGAAUUCCUGGUGUAGCAGUGAAAUGCGUAGAUAUCAGGAGGAACACCGAUGGCGAAGGCAGGUCUCCUGGGCUGACACUGACGCUCAUGCACGAAAGCGUGGGGAG
rnacentral:rRNA from 1 species